UACGGAAGGCAGCAGUGGGGAAUAUUGCACAAUGGGCGAAAGCCUGAUGCAGCUAUGCCGCGUGUAUGAAGAAGGCCUUAGGGUUGUAAAGUACUUUCAUCGGGGAGGAAAAAACAAAACUAAUAAUUUUAUUUCUUGACGUUACCCGAAAAAGAAGCACCGGCUAACUCCGUGCCAGCAGCCGCGGUAAUACGGAGGGUGCUAGCGUUAAUCAGAAUUACUGGGCGUAAAGGGCACGUAGGUGGUUUUUUUAAAGUCAGAUGUGAAAUCCCUGGGCUUAACCUAGGAACUGCAUUUUGAAACUGAAAUACUAGAGUAUCAUAGAGGGAGGUAGAAUUCUAGGUGUAGCGGUGAAAUGCGUAGAUAUCUGGAGGAAUACCUGUGGCGAAAGCGGCCUCCUAAACGAAUACUGACACUGAGGUGCGAAAGCGUGGGGAGCAAACAGGGAUUAGAUACC
rnacentral:rRNA from 1 species